UACGGAGGGUGCAAGCGUUAUCCGGAUUCACUGGGUUUAAAGGGUGCGUAGGCGGGCAGGUAAGUCAGUGGUGAAAUCUUCAAGCUUAACUUGGAAACUGCCAUUGAUACUAUCUGUCUUGAAUGUUCUGGAGGUUAGCGGAAUAUGUCAUGUAGCGGUGAAAUGCUUAGAUAUGACAUAGAACACCUAUUGCGAAGGCAGCUAACUACGGAAAUAUUGACGCUGAGGCACGAAAGCGUGGGGAUCAAACAGGA
rnacentral:rRNA from 1 species